GAGGGUAUGACUCAGUGGUAGAGUGCCUGCUUAGCAUGCAUGACGUCCUGGGUUCAAUCCCCUGUACCUCCA
rnacentral:tRNA from 1 species